AUUUUUUUUUUUUUUUUUAGGGCCACACCUGCAGCAUAUGGAGUUUUCUGGGCUAGGAGUCAAAUCGGAGCUGUAGCCACCAGUCUACACCACAGCCACAGCAGCACCAGAUCCAACCCGCAUCUGCAAUCUACACCACAGCUCAUGGCAACGCUGGAUCCUUAACCCACAGAGCAAGGCCAGGGACGGAACCUGCAUCCUCAUGGAUGCUAGUUAGAUUCGUGUCCGCUGAGCCACGAUGGGAAUUCCAACCACAUUUUGUUUUGUGCUCGUAACAUUUUAUCUUAUUUUUAACCUUUUGGGAAAGUCAGUUAAACACACACAGCCUUGAUCAGAGCUAUUUUAGAAAACUAAGAAGUAAGCAAUAAACAGAAGGAAAGCUUCCCCGCUCAAGUCCUCCUUUGGGGCAGCUUAGCGGCAUCUCAUCGUGUGGAGCGGAGGGUGGGCGGUCGGCCCGGAGAAGAGCAAGGGAGCAGCGGCCGAGGUACAAGGCGCAGCUGGGAGAGCCGGAAGAGGCAGGAAAGGAACAUCUGAAACAGGCACUGACCCUGCUGAGACCCGGGUACAUGGCCAAAGAGGAUGACGAUGACCCCUGAUGGUGAUGGAGGCCGACCAAUGGCAAGGUCUUCACCAUGUGUUGCUGGGUAGAAAAGCACAUCGUAAGAAGACCAAUCAGGAUGAUCCCUUUGGUGAGAAACCAACGAAUCUUUGUAUGACUGAGUGCAUGGAAGAAGGGUGGAAGAACAUAUUCAAAAUAUUAAAUGUGACUCUUAUUUAGGUAGUAGGCUGGUGGGUGGGUGGUAAUAGUCCCACAGUCCACAGGGACUGCUUUGCGAUAUAGAAUAAAUGCGGCUGACUCUCCGCCACCACUUUUUAGAGAGCCUUACCCACGUUAACGGAUUUGAUCCUGUCAUCUUCCGAGACUAUAUUUGCUGGUCCUGUUAGGAUUCCCCUUUUCAUGAUCGAUGAGGAAAAGAAGGUGCGAAGAAAUUUAAUUACUGGCCCUUGGUCGUACAGGUAGGAAGUGGUACAGCUCCUUCUAGGGUGAAAAUCAAAAGUUAGCAAUGGCUGUUUUUGCAAAGAAAGAAAUUGUCUCCACACGUGAGCACUCAUUUGAAAAUCUCUGCCGUGUCGUUAUUUUUUCCCAGGUGAAUUUAGGGGGUGGGUGUCAAAAUUUCCUACCUGAUCCUGCCCUAAUCCAGACCAAGUUUCCCUCGGUGAAAAUAUCUGAGCCACCUCUCUCUGCUUCCUUCUUGGUCCCCGAUGGUCUGGACCCUAUUCUCAGUCUUUAUGUCUUUCCCCCCAUUCACUGGAUGCGUUUUUAUUACGUGUGUAGAAUCUGUAUUUAACCACUUUUACCCCUUCAUUGUAUCCCUCAAUAUAUACUUUCUGAUGAAAAAGACUGUGCUAAGAUUGGGUUUGUUGCGUGCAUCAGCCACUGGGCCCAAGCCCUUUGCAGAACACAUCAUCUCUCAUUCUCACGCCACCUUAUCAGUAAGGUUGGUGCUCUGAUGAAUCCGCAGAUGAAGACUGUGAGGCACAGAGAGGUGAAGUCCUUUUGCCAAAGCCACACAGCAAGUAAAUGGUGGAGCCACAGCUGAACUUCAGUCUGUCUGUUUCCAUGUCUUAUGCCUUUAAGGGCUCCCCUCUACGGCUAGCUCUACUCACUGGCCCGCAUAGGAAGGGAAUGAACAAGACUCCUUUGUCCCCAACCUCAGGGUAUGCAUGGACAUCCUUGAGACAUGAGGCCUCCUGCUUUCCCUGCCUGGCUCUAUUACUUUUGGCCAAAAGUCAUGGCAACCUGGAAUAACCCAGGUCCCUUCGGCCCACAUUCUUGGCGUGUGUGCCAGGCCACUGUGUCUCACUUAUUUUGAUUACAUCAUUACCCCGGUCCUGAGCGGAGAAGUCAGAAUCUCCUUUUCUUCACAUUUAUGUGUGACCCUUUUCAGUCAGUCUGUCAACAGGAGUUUUCCUUUUGCUUUCUCUCCCCUUUGCUCCAUUCUGGCUCUUUUCUCACUUUCCAUGUCUCCUGUGGCGCUUGAUUUCCCUUUGGGCUUAGAAAAUCUGGGCUGCCUUUGACUUAAACCCUCUGCUCCCUUAGUCUGCCAGCCUGCUCCUGAAGGCGCUUUUCCUUUCUUGAGGAAAAGACCCCUCUUCUCAGGUCACACUGCUAUAGAGGAAUCAGAAACGCUCCUCGAGGAGUUCCCCUUGUGGCCCAGCAGGUUAAGAACCUAACAUAGGAGUUCCUGCUGUGGCGCGGCAGAAACGAAUCUGACUAGGAACCAUGAAGUUGGGGGCUCGAUCUCUGGCUUUACUCAGUGGGUUAGGGAUCUGGCUUUGCCGUGAGCUGUGGUGUAGGUCACAGAUGUGGCUCAGAUCCUGCAUUGCCGUGGCUGUGGUGUAGGCCAGCAGCUACAGCUCUGAAUGGGCCCCGUAUGCUGCAGGUGUGACCCUAAAAAGCAAAAAAAUAAAAAACGUUAAAAAAAUAAAAA
ensembl:lncRNA